rnacentral:lncRNA from 1 species
GGAAUGGCGCUUGUCGCCCCCUUUGGACGACAUGUCCUUAAGACCAAAGGUUUGGGGUCUCAGGGAAGUCCUGGCAAAGACUGUGGCUCAGGAGGCUGUGCAGAGACGGUGGCCAAGUUCAUUGUCAUUGUUAAAUUGUAUUUCCCAACCAGACGUUCUGAGAGUGAAAGAGAAUGCUGCUGAGCUUACACCAGUGGCAGAAAUUCAGACCACUUCUCAGAGACUUCCAGGAACUUGGAGAAACACAGCUUCCCCGAGGGAGAGCCAAGAGCCCAGUGACAUUUCCUGUCAAAUGUCCAAGGCGAACUCCAGGUCCAGAGUGUCAGCCCUGGUAUGUGGCACUGCGAUCAGCCGUUGGAAGGAUUAUCUGCCACUUGUUUCCAGUGCUUUCCCAGUAGCCUUCUGAAAGCCAGCGGGGGUUCCGCCUGGUCAGAAAAGACCUCUUUCA